rnacentral:rRNA from 1 species
UACGGAGGGAGCUAGCGUUGUUCGGAAUUACUGGGCGUAAAGCGCGCGUAGGCGGCCUUGCAAGUUAGAGGUGAAAUCCUGGAGCUCAACUCCAGAACUGCCUUUGAUACUGAAGAUCUUGAGUUCGGGAGAGGUGAGUGGAACUGCGAGUGUAGAGGUGAAAUUCGUAGAUAUUCGCAAGAACACCAGUGGCGAAGGCGGCUCACUGGCCCGAUACUGACGCUGAGGCACGGAAAGCGUGGGGAGCAAACAGG